GGAGGUACAGCUCAGUGGUAGAGCGUGUGCUUAGCGUGCACAAGGUCCUGGGUUCAAUCCCCGGCACCUCUA
rnacentral:tRNA from 1 species